rnacentral:rRNA from 1 species
GAUGAACGCUGGCGGCGUGCCUAAUACAUGCAAGUCGAGCGAACAGACCCGGCGCUUGCUCCUCUCACGUUAGCCGCGGACGUGUGUGUCACACGUGUAUAAUCUCCCUAUAAGACUGGUAUCAUUUCGGGAAACCGGCUCUUAUCCCAUAUGAUCUCUUGCACCAUGUUGUUCGAUGGUGAAAGUCGGUUUUGCUGUCUCUUCUCGCUGCUUCCGCGCCGCAUUAGAUAGUUGGUACGGUAAAAGCCUACCACGGCAACGAUGCGUAGCCGACCUGAGAGAGUGAUAGGCCACAUGGGAACGGAGACACGGACAAGACGACUAAGAGAGGCAGCAGUAGGGAAUCUGACGCAAUGGGCGAAAGCCUGACGGAGCAACGCCGCGUGAGUGAUGAAGGUCUUCGGAUCGUAAAACUCUGUUAUUAGGGAAGAACAAAUGUGUAAGUAACUAUGCACGUCUUGACGGUACCUAAUCAGAAAGCCACGGCUAACUACGUG